rnacentral:ncRNA from 25 species
CCGAGCGAAACCUUCGCUGACGCAAGGGAUUUCGUGAAGAGGGAAUCCGGUGAGACUCCGGAGCUGACCCGCAGCGGUAUACCGGAACGACCGCCGUCACCAUGCACUGGCUGCCUUCGCAGCGGCUGGGAAGCGACGGCCAGUAGGGGCACGACGGAUCGCAGACGACGAUCUUUUCGGCACGCCGGUGAGCCCGAAGACCUGCCUGUUGUGCCGGGUGCGCC